GACGAACGCUGGCGGCGUGCUUAACACAUGCAAGUCGAACGGAAAGGCCCUGCUUUUGUGUGGUGCUCGAGUGGCGAACGGGUGAGUAACCUGUGAGUAACCUGCCCUUGACUUUGGGAUAUCCUCAGGAAACUGGUGCUAAUACCGGAUAGGAGCUCCUGCUGCUUGGUGGGGGUUGGACAGUUUCGGCGGUUGGGGAUGGACUCGCGGCUUAUCAGCUUGUUGGGGGGGUAGUGGCUUACCAAGGCUUUGACGGGUAGCCGGCCUGAGAGGGGGACCGGCCACAUUGGGACUGAGAUACGGCCCAGACUCCUACGGGAGGCAGCAGUGGAGAAUAUUGCACAGUGGGCGGAAGCCUGAUGCAGCGACGCCGCGUGCGGGAAGACGGCCUUGGGGUUGGAAACCGCAUUCGCUUGUGACGAAGCGUGAGUGACGGUAAUGGGUGAAGAAGCACCGGCUAACUACGUG
rnacentral:rRNA from 1 species